rnacentral:rRNA from 1 species
UGCCAUCAUCCGCGGUACGACGGCGUGUCCUCGCUUGUUCGGAAUAACUGUGCGUAAAGGGUACGUAGGCGGUUUUGUAAGUUAGAUGUGAAAUCCCAGGGCUCAACCUUGGAACUGCAUUUAAAACUGCAAAACUUGAGAUCGGAAGAGGAAAGCGGAAUUUCUAGUGUAGAGGUGAAAUUCGUAGAUAUUAGAAGGAACAUCAGAGGCGAAGGCGGCUUUCUGGUACGAUACUGACGCUGAGGUACGAAAGCGUGGGGAGCACACCGGAUUAGAUA